UACGAAGGGGGCUAGCGUUGCUCGGAAUCACUGGGCGUAAAGCGCACGUAGGCGGCUUUUUAAGUCAGGGGUGAAAUCCUGGAGCUCAACUCCAGAACUGCCUUUGAUACUGAGAAGCUUGAGUCCGGGAGAGGUGAGUGGGAACUGCGAGUGUAGAGGUGAAAUUCGUAGAUAUUCGCAAGAACACCAGUGGCGAAGGCGGCUCACUGGCCCGGUACUGACGCUGAGGUGCGAAAGCGUGGGGAGCAAACAGGG
rnacentral:rRNA from 1 species